GAUGAACGCUAGCGGCAGGCUUAACACAUGCAAGUCGAGGGGUAUAGUUCUUCGGAACUAGAGACCGGCGCACGGGUGCGUAACGCGUAUGCAAUCUACCUUUUACAGGGGAAUAGCCCAGAGAAAUUUGGAUUAAUGCCCCAUAGUAUAGUUUAUUCGCAUGAUUAGAUUAUUAAAGUUCCAACGGUAGAAGAUGAGCAUGCGUCCCAUUAGCUAGAUGGUAAGGUAACGGCUUACCAUGGCGACGAUGGGUAGGGGUCCUGAGAGGGAGAUCCCCCACACUGGUACUGAGACACGGACCAGACUCCUACGUGAGGCAGCAGUGAGGAAUAUUGGUCAAUGGACGCAAGUCUGAACCAGCCAUGCCGCGUGCAGGAUGACGGUCCUAUGGAUUGUAAACUGCUUUUGUACGAGAAGAAACACUGCUACGUGUAGCAGCUUGACGGUAUCGUAAGAAUAAGGAUCGGCUAACUCCGUGCCAGCCGCCGCAGUAA
rnacentral:rRNA from 1 species